rnacentral:rRNA from 1 species
GACUGUUUAUCAAAAACACAGGUCUCUGCUAAACCGUAAGGUGAUGUAUAGGGGCUGACGCCUGCCCGGUGCUGGAAGGUUAAGAGGAGUGGUUAGCUUCUGCGAAGCUACGAAUCGAAGCCCCAGUAAACGGCGGCCGUAACUAUAACGGUCCUAAGGUAGCGAAAUUCCUUGUCGGGUAAGUUCCGACCCGCACGAAAGGCGUAACGAUUUGGGCACUGUCUCAACGAGAGACUCGGUGAAAUCAUAGUACCUGUGAAGAUGCAGGUUACCCGCGACAGGACGGAAAGACCCCGUGGAGCUUUACUGUAGCCUGAUAUUGAAAUUCGGCACAGCUUGUACAGGAUAGGUAGGAGCCCUG